UGAGGAAUAUUGGACAAUGGGCGCAAGCCUGAUCCAGCCAUGCCGCGUGAGUGAAGAAGGCCUUCGGGUUGUAAAGCUCUUUUUACCAGGGACGAUAAUGACGGUACCUGGAGAAUAAGCCCCGGCAAACUUCGUGCCAGCAGCCGCGGUAAUACGAAGGGGGCUAGCGUUGUUCGGAAUUACUGGGCGUAAAGCGCACGUAGGCGGAUUGUUAAGUCAGAGGUGAAAUCCCGGAGCUCAACUUCGGAACUGCCUUUGAUACUGGCAAUCUAGAGUCCGGAAGAGGUUAGUGGAAUUCCCAGUGUAGAGGUGAAAUUCGUAGAUAUUGGGAAGAACACCAGUGGCGAAGGCGGCUAACUGGUCCGGUACUGACGCUGAGGUGCGAAAGCGUGGGGAGCAAACAGGAUUAGAUACCCCCGUAGUCCCUGAGCGGGCUGGCAAGGCGCAU
rnacentral:rRNA from 1 species